ensembl:lncRNA
CGCUGACAGCUGUGGUCUCUCCAAGAGCGCGAGCUUCUGAGGGACAAAGUCCUCCUGCGAUACCUUCACGCGCGCCGAGCCAUCUGCAACCGCCACACCGGAUUUUAAAAGUAUUAUUCACCAACGCACCGAAAAGCAACCGAACCAACCCGUGAACCGCUCCUAUUUUGGAUCCGCCGCAGGGACGCACACACUUAACGGGAUUACUCUUUGUUUUAAUAAAGAAGAUGUGAUGUUUUAUAAGCUGACGGGGAAAAGAGACUCCACCGCUGACAAAAAGGUACGAACGAUUGAACAAAAACAAGACGAAAGGAAGACGCAGCUGGAACCGCUAGAGAUAUGGAGCUAAAGAGAUUUUGAAAACAUCUCCGUCGACCUGAGCGCAGAGGGAUUAACCUGCUGCAUGCAGAGAAAGAACCACAGAAGAAGAAGAACCAACUGAG